rnacentral:rRNA from 1 species
CACCGCCCGUCACAUCACGAAAGCUGGCUGUACUAGAAAUUACUGCGCUAACCCGCAAGGGAGGCAGGUACUUAAGGUAUGGUCAGUGAUUGGGGUG